AGCUACAUAUUAAAGAGAUUUAUUUAUAUAAAUAGGCUUGCUAGCUGAUUGUAUAUAUAUGCUGGCCGUAUUUCAUAGCAAGCUCGCUUUUAAUAGGCAACCAGUAAUAUGAGCAAUUCUUUACCUACAAGCCUAUAAUUAUAUUAACUCUAAGAGAAAUCUAAUAAUAAACGGAGUGAAUUGAAAUAUCUUAUUAACUUCAGGAAAAGAAAUCAAAAGAGAUUCUAUGAUUAGCGUGAGCUAAAAUAGAGUAGCCUAGAAAGUCAAAUGGUGGAUAAACUGUUUAAAUUUAAUGGGGAACCUUCCUCAAAGGCUAAAUAUAAUAUGUAAGCGAUAGUGGAAAGUACCGUGAGGGAACCAAAACAAAAACAGUGAUUUUAUAAGCAGUUCGGAAAAAUAAAAAAGUUAGAACGUACCUUUUGCAUAAUGGGUCACCAAGUUAACAUUAGAUGCGAGAUUCUACGUAGUUAAACCGAGCGUUAAAAUAACGGUAAGUGUCUAAAGUUAGACCCGAAGCCUGGUGAUUUUACCAUAAUCAGGAUUAUAAAAGUCCGAACGGAAUAUUGUAGCAUAAAUAUCCGAAGAAUUAUGGUAGGUGUAGUGAAAGACAAUACUGACCAGGAUAGCUGGUUUUCUGCGAAACCUAUAACAGUAGGCAAUUUAAGUAUAAUAUCUUAGCAGGUACAGAAUUUAAUCUCAGACAAGACAUAAGGCUUAACUUGUUAACAAGUUAAGCCCAUGUUUUAUUUUGUACAAAUUGGGGGAUCAUGAAGAUUUUAUCAGUGAGUAUGUAGACUCGGAAUGGCAAAGAUAUAUCUUAAAUCAUCAGACAUAGAAUGAUAAGGUUGUAUGUCAAAAGGGAAACAGCCCAGAACAAGAGUUAAGGUUCCUAAAUUAUUAGUUGAGUGAAAUUAAGAAGGUUUUUAUUAAAGUCGACAAGGAGAUAGGCUUAGAAGCAGCCAUAAUUUUAUGACCUCGUAACAGAGCGCUUGUUAAGUUUUAAAAGCAUCGAAAAUUUAUCGGAUCUAAACAAUAUACCGAAACCUUGUCCAUAUUAUUUUAUAAUUAAUAGUCUCAGCAAGCUCGGACUAUACAAUUAUAAUUAAAUGGGGUAGCAGAACGUUGAGCUAAAUUAAGAUUUUUAUUUUUUAAAUGAAAUUAUAAUAAUUUAACUCAAGUGAUAAUGGUGACAUGAGUAACUAAAAGAAAAUUUUCCGCCUAAAGCUUAUGGAUGUAAUUAAGUAACGGCCUCUAAGUUUAUGGAAUCAAAAGAUUAAAACGAUGAGACAAUCUUUCAUACUAAGGACGACAUUUUAAGUGCAAAAUGUACUGGAAAAAUAGUAAUAAGUUUAAGCUAUGGCUAGAACUAGCUAUAGCUGUAAAUGGAAAGUAACCGUACCUAGAAUCUGAAACAAGUAAGCUAGUAGAGAAUACGAAGGCGUAAAUGAGCUAACAAUCAUAAAGGAACUCGGCAAAUUGACUACCGUAACUUCGGGAUAAGGAGAGCUCAUUAUUCUUGAUUAAUAUCAGGUAAAGAGGAAGAAGCAUGAAAUAGUGUUGUACGACUGUUUAAUUAAAACACAGCACUUUGCUGAAAGAUUAAAAAUCUAAGUAUAGAGUGUGAUGUCUGCCCGGUGCCGGCUGGUUAACAGAUAUAAUUAAAUAUACUAAUAUUUGAUGUAGACGGAAACCCCGGUUAAAGGCGGCCUUAACGUGAGGGUCCUAAGGUAGCGAAAUGCCUUGGCCGUUAAAUGCGGUCUUGCAUGAAUGAUGUAACGAUACAACAGCUGUCUCUAUGAUUGACUCAGUGAAAUUGGAAUAGCUGUGCAGAUACAGUUUACCUCUAGUUAGACGAGAAGACCCUAUGCAGCUUUACUGUCACUAAUUAUAGAGUAUGAUAAACAAUUUUCAGUUUAUAAGGUAAUUGACGGCCGGCUUGCUUAGCAAGCUGGCUCUAUGACAAUGAGAAUCCUUUAUUUUUUUUUCAUAUGAAUGAAUUGGUUUAGGACGAGCUUAAGCUCGUAGUAAAUCAACCUAAUUCAGCUUAUUUUCCUUUCUGCUGUAAGCGCAUAAUGAUAGAUUAUACUUAAAUUUGGAUUUAUGCCUGCAGAAAUAGAUAAGUACCCUUGGUUAAGGAACUAUCGCUAGGGGACAGUUUAUGUGGGGCACAGACCCUGUAAAGAGUAAACAGGAGUGUCUAAUAAUUUAUAAUUAUUUUGUUUGCGAUUUAAGGUAGUAGAACUAUUUUUAAUCAUAUAAAAUUAUUUAUAUGUACAUUCGUUGUAUAUAUAUUUAAAAAAAGGUAGGAUUUUCACUAUAUAGAAAUUAGAGAUAAUAAAAAUAUUAAGUAGUAGCUGCUGAGUCCUAAUCCCGCCGAAGGGGGGAUAUGGACUACUAUGUAUUUCAUAGCAAGCUCGCACUAAUAUUUUUUAACUAUUAAGACUAGCUAUCUAGCUAUGCUCUAAUAGUUAUGUUUUAAUUAUCUAAAAAGCUCAACGGCUAAAUCUUGCCUUACUGUUUGAUUAUCAACAAAUCUUACAGUUGCGUAAGCAGGGCAUAGGAUCACAAGAUGCAACAAGGAAAGAUCUUGGAUUAUUGGAAAAGCUACGCUAGGGAUAACAGGCUAAUUUGCGCAAGAGUGUACAAAAUGAGUGCGCGGUUUGGCACCUCGAUGUCGGCUUAACUUAUCCUCAUGGAUGCAGGAACUAUGUAGGGUGCGACUGUUCGUCGAUUAAAAAGUUACAUGAGCUGGGUUAAAUACGUCGUGAGACAGUAUGGUUUCUAUCUUCUAGGGGGAAUUAGAAUAUAAUAAGAACUAACUUUUGUACGAAAGGAACAAGAAGAAUUUAAUUUGUAAAAGGGUUAAAUAAUAGUUACUAACCUAUGGUUUACCUGUUGUCUAUGUGCCCAAAUAUUAAAAUAUAGGAUAAAAAUUCUAUAUAUCUGUAUAGCUUUAGCUAUACAUAGGGAUGUUUCUUUCACUAAGAUAAAUAUAUAGCAUAGGCACGGCAGGAAAGCUAAGUUGGUUAAGGAUAAGUGCUGAAAGCAUAUAGGCACGAAGCUUAUCUUAAGAUAUUUCUUAAAUAUACGUAAAAUAUUAUUACGAAGGAUUAAUAUAGGCUUUAUCCGUACGAAUCUGGAGAUUUUUAAGAAUAAAGUACUAAUUUUAUAAAUAACUAUUUAU
rnacentral:rRNA from 1 species